UAUAUAAAAGGUGGUUUAGUGAAUUUUAACUCAGUAUCACUAUUUUAUAAAUAUAAAUUAAUUUUUCAACUUUGGACUAUUCUAUGAUACUUAUGUAAAUAAAGAAUAAAUAAGAAUAAAUACUUAUGUAUAAGGUGAGGGUAUUAUUGGAAGGAAAAAAUACGAAUUUUUGUUUUGCGGUUUCCCUAUUUAUCAUUCAUUCGCAGUUUGCUCUCUCAUCUUUCUUGCGUUCUCCCAUCUCUCUGGUUCUCUCAUCUCUCUCGUGUUCUCUCAUCUUUCUCACAUUCUCUCAUCUCUUACGUUCUUUCAUUUGUGUUAUUCUAUCAUCUCUCUCGUUCUCUGGUUUGUCUCGCUGUCUUGGAUGUCUGGCUUGUGCACCAUUAAAACCCUUUCCCAUACUUGUCUUCUGCCUUCUCGCUGUGGUGGUGUUUUUUUGGUAAGUAGAACCGCGCGAACUCUAACCAUCUUCUCCAGCAUU
rnacentral:lncRNA from 1 species